rnacentral:rRNA from 1 species
CGCGUAGGUGGUUUGUUAAGUUGGAUGUGAAAGCCCCGGGCUCGACCUGGGAACUGCAUCCAAAACUGGCAAGCUAGAGUACGGUAGAGGGUGGUGGAAUUUCCUGUGUAGCGGUGAAAUGCGUAGAUAUAGGAAGGAACACCAGUGGCGAAGGCGACCACCUGGACUGAUACUGACACUGAGGUGCGAAAGCGUGGGGAGCAAACA